GAUGAACGCUGGCGGCGUGCCUAAUACAUGCAAGUCGAGCGAACAGACGAGGAGCUUGCUCCUCUGACGUUAGCGGCGGACGGGUGAGUAACACGUAGGUAACCUACCUAUAAGACUGGGAUAACUUCGGGAAACCGGAGCUAAUACCGGAUAAUAUUUUGAACCGCAUGGUUCGAUAGUGAAAGAUGGCUUUGCUAUCACUUAUAGAUGGAUCUGCGCCGUAUUAGCUAGUUGGUAAGGUAACGGCUUACCAAGGCAACGAUACGUAGCCGACCUGAGAGGGUGAUCGGCCACACUGGAACUGAGACACGGUCCAGACUCCUACGGGAGGCAGCAGUAGGGAAUCUUCCGCAAUGGGCGAAAGCCUGACGGAGCAACGCCGCGUGAGUGAUGAAGGUCUUCGGAUCGUAAAACUCUGUUAUUAGGGAAGAACAAACGUGUAAGUAACUGUGCACGUCUUGACGGUACCUAAUCAGAAAGCCACGGCUAACUACGUG
rnacentral:rRNA from 1 species